UGUGUGACAGAUGGCAGCAGAGGGGCACUCUGACAAGAUGACAUCUGACAUGGAAGUGUGUGUGGAGCAAAGGUUUACAAUGCUUAAUUGUGGACUGCCUUCAAGUGAGGUGAUUUGAUUGGUCCUGUGAGAGAAGGAAAAGGCUGGUGUUCAUCUGGAUCUCACCCUGCUGUGGGCAGCUGGGCUGCGCAUAGGUAGCAGCAAAGCAAAAGCCAAACCGACUUAAAAUAGCAGAUGUUAUGAAUGAUGCCACAGAGUAAUCAGAGGUAUCCGAGGCAAGGGAAAGAUAUAACAAAGAUUUAACAGUUUGCGUCAAAGUUUCCAUGUCUUGCCUGAAUGCCUUUCCAAUCACCUCUGUACCUGCGCUACAAGCAUUUCAACCAGCCAAUCAGAGAACUAAAGCAAACUCUAACUAUUAGAUGACCAUUGAUGUGCCCUGAAUAGAAGGUGACAAAAAUCUGAGUCCACAAAAUGUUUCAGAGGAUUUUGGCUAUUUAUCAAAUUUCCUGUGGCUGCAAGGAUGUUCUCCAGAAGAGAAUAUGGAUCAAGUGGACCAGGCAGCUGGAUAAAAAGGGAAUAUGCCACAAGAAGAGGCCAGGAGAAGAAGUACCUGCUCUAAUGAGAACAUACAAGUUAUUCAAGGUGUGAAGUCUCUGUACCUACCUUUGGGAACUGGGUUCUUAGCUUGGCAAGUCAUUCAGUGCAUUCCUCACAUAAAGCUGCUAGGGAAUGGUAUUAAUUGCAAUAAGUCAAUAAGUUUGUAAGUUAAUCAGGUACUCAUCCAAGGCACAGGAAGAAUCUGUGCAAAGGAAUACUAUUCCCAGUAUUCCUAAUAUUACAUACAUAAUGGCUAUGGAACACAUAAAAAUAUAUAUGAAAAUGUUCAUGGUUUUGCUAUAAAACAAGCUGUCUGUAAAAUUUCCAUUUAAAGUUUAUUUUAAUCUGAUUGAUAUUAAAUGUUGUCCCUUAAUGAGCAGCUCAUUGUUUUGAAGAAUUGACUGUACAUUUACAUUUUUUUUCUUUAAAAAAGUUACUAAAUUUCUUUAAAAACAUUACUAAUCACUAAAUGCAUGCAAAAUUUUCUACACUACUGAAAUAAUAUUCUACAACAAUAUUCAUUCACUGCAACAUGGAGAGGAAGAUCUGAAAGGUUCACUCAUCCUGAAUGAUAGUGAGGAUGUUGUGUUUAUUUGGUUUUGUGUGUGGGUCUGUUUGUCUGUUUGUUAUUGCUUUCACAUUUUUCUUUCCCUUAAGAGGUCGUGUUGAGCCACAUUCAUUGUUGCCCACAUGUGUUUGUAUAUUGUGCAAAGGUAAUGAACUGAAAUGUAAACUUUGUGCAGAAGAAACUUGCAGUGAGUAAAUGCUUUGCUUACACUG
ensembl:lncRNA